UGCAGAUGAUGUGAGAGAAUAUUUGCUAUCUGCGCAAUGGUGAUGACAAAAAAAAAAAGAAGGAAAUGCCUUGUGCA
rfam:Otolemur garnettii contig009783, whole genome shotgun sequence.